rnacentral:lncRNA from 1 species
AUUGAUUGAUUGUUGGUUGCUUAACGUCCAGUGGCAAAUAUUUCAUGCAUAUUCAGGACGAGAACAAGUUCACAAUAAAUACAAUAGGUAGGUUGUUGUAAAAGAGGCCAUCUAGGAUGAUGGUCGGGGAAAUUUGGACUGCCACUGGAAAAUGAGGGUAUAUUGGAAAGGGACAGAAAUUUUGCCUUGCAACAGGCCACCUACGGACCCCUCAAAGAGUUGUUGCAAGGGUUAUUAACG